AAAAUUGGUGUGUAUUAAUGGGCCAAUCAGUGGAUUAAAGUCCACAUGGUAUAUUGUAAAGUGAUUUUUUGCCAUGUUACUGGAAAGUAAAGGUUCCAUUAUAGAGUCAUCUCCUUUGGGACUGCAGAGUAGUGGUUGUAAAGAACCUGUGAGGGAAUUGUGCUGUUGUUUUUGAUGUUGAAGCAUCUUUGAAAUCAGUGUGAAUUAUUGCUGUUUUAAGGGCACUGUGACUAAGGUGUGUGUUUCCCUUUCUUAUUCCAUAAUGUGCUUAAUUAAUUUAAUUCUUAAAUUGUCAAAGUGUUAGUACUUUACUUAAUUUUUAAUGAUUUUAUCUUUGGCUUUUGUUAAUACUGUGUUUUUUAUCUUAAAUAGGUUUUUGAGUUCUGAUUAUAUCAAAAGAAAAAUCUAUCAUUUGCAUGGAUUUUGAUUUUUCUUUUGGUAUAGUGUUUUAGUCUUUCAGGGUUCACACAAAAGAAUUCAAGAACAAUCCAAACCUAGGUUUUCUUUUCUGUUAAAUAGGAAUAUUUAGUUUGGGUCUUAGUGUACUUUAUUAUAAAAAUAAUUUUAUAAUUAUUUUUAUACACUAAUGCUUAAUACUGGCCAGUGUCACAUUCAUGUUAUAAAAAUAAAAUGUUUCAUAAUUAUGUGUUCUUUAUUUAUAUAAAAUAUAGGUAAUAAGAAAAUAUAGACAAUGUUUAGAAUACAUUAGAACCAAUUUGGGUUUUUAUCUUAUUGGCAUAAGAAUUUACAAUGAUUCAUUGGAUUAUUUCUUUAACUGACUGUUUUCAGUUUAGAUGUGUAUACCUUUGCCCCAAUGAUGAUUUACUUCAUUUAGAAUCAGACUGGUGAGUACAGAGACCAAGUUUACCUAACAACUAAAUAUUUGAUUUCAUAAUUAUUAACAUAUUACUGUAUUAUAAUAUAUACUGGUAAUAGUUUAAGAAUAGUUAUUUUUUCAUUUCUAAAAUCUGCAUUGAUUUUUUUUUUUU
rnacentral:lncRNA from 1 species